GAAGAAGCCGAGGCCGGGGGGGUUAAGUAUCCGGGUUUAAGUCUCCUUAGGCGAGGAAGGCUUCACUUUCCAGCGGAUCCAGAUAUCCUGAGUCUCCCGGAAACUGCAGGAGGGGACAGGACUCGACUUCGAGACUGUAGGGUGGGGUGAGGGGAUGAGGUUCUCCUGACCUGGCUAAGCUCCAUGGAGGGAACCCUGGCCAUGAGCGAUCCAAGUACUGCUCUUGUUUCCCAGAGGCCUGUGGAUGACUCUCAUCUGGCAGUGGACCUCAGAUGGGGCUCAGCAGUGAAAGAGGGGAAGACAAAAAUCUGGCGAGCGAGCUGCCCGGGCCGAGACUGGCCACUUCAAACAGCCCUUCAAACAAAAGGAGACGACGAAAAGAAAGCCCCACCUGUCUCCAGUGUUUGCUAAAAUAAUAAUAAAUAGAUUUCGUUUAAUAAAUAAU